GUCAUUUGUACUCUCAAGCUCUGCUUGGUGUUGGGUGUUUGUCUCUACUCUACGUAUAGACUCGCCUUAAAAAGAUUGGCAGCCGGCAUAUUGUCUUGGAGCGCAGCACAUUUUGCGUCCCUUGCUUUGUUGUUAGCAUCCAGUAAGCGACUACAUUUGCUCUUGACCUCGGAUCAGGUAGGGAUACCCGCUGAACUUAA
rnacentral:misc_RNA from 1 species